CGGCGGACGGCUGAGUAACGCGUGGGAACAUGCCCCAAAGUGAGGAAUAAGCACCAGAAAUGGUGUCUAAUGCCGCAUAUGAUCUUCGGAUUAAAGGAUUUAUCCGCUUUGGGAGUGGCCCGCGUACGAUUAGGUAGUUGGUGAGGUAAAGGCUCACCAAGCCUACGAUCGUUAAUUGGUCUGAGAGGAUGACCAGUCAGACUGGAACUGAGACACGGUCCAGACUCCUACGGGAGGCAGCAGUGAGGAAUCUUCCACAAUGGGCGAAAGCCUGAUGGAGCGACGCCGCGUGCAGGAUGAAGGCCUUCGGGUUGUAAACUGCUUUUAUAAGUGAGGAAUAUGACGGUAACUUAUGAAUAAGCACCGGCUAACUACGUGCCAGCAGCCGCGGUCAUACGUAGGGUGCAAGCAUUAUCCGGAGUGACUGGGCGUAAAGAGUUGCGUAGGUGGUUCGUAAAGUGAAUGGUGAAAUCUGGCGGCUCAACCGUACAGACUAUUAUUCAAAC
rnacentral:rRNA from 1 species